UACGGAGGGUGCGAGCGUUGUCCGGAAUCACUGGGCGUAAAGGGCGCGUAGGUGGCGCGGGCAGUCAACGGUGAAAGUUCGGGGCUCAACCCUGAAUCGGCCGUCGAUACUCCCGGGCUUGAGCACUGUAGAGGCAGAUGGAAUUCCGGGUGUAGCGGUGGAAUGCGUAGAGAUCCGGAAGAACACCGGGUGGCGAAGGCGGUCUGCUGGGCAGUAGCUGACACUGAGCGCGACAGCGUGGGGAGCAACAGG
rnacentral:rRNA from 1 species